CCUACGGGUGGCAGCAGUGGGGAAUAUUGGGCAAUGGGCGCAAGCCUGACCCAGCAACGCCGCGUGAAGGAAGAAGGCUUUCGGGUUGUAAACUUCUUUUCUCAGGGACGAAGAAAGCGACGGUACCUGAGGAAUAAGCCACUGCUAACUACGUGCCAGCCGCCGCGGUAAUACGGAGGCGGCAAGCGUUAUUCGGAUUUACUGGGUGUAAAGGGCGAGUAGGCGGGGUAGCAAGUCAGAUGUGAAAACCUCGGGCUGAACCUGAGGACUGCAUUUGAAACUGUUUUUCUGGAGUACUGGAGAGGUAGGUGGAAUUCCUGGUGUAGGGGUGAAAUGCGUAGAGAGUAGGAGGAACAC
rnacentral:rRNA from 1 species